rnacentral:rRNA from 1 species
GUACUUGGUGUUACUGCGAAGGGGGGACGGAGAAGGCUAGGCUAGCCGGGCGACGGUUGUCCCGGUUUAAGCGUGUAGGGGGUGUGACCUGGUAAAUCCGGUUACAUAUCAACCCUGAGGCGUGAUGACGAUGCACUACGGUGCAGAAGUAGUUGAUGCCCUGCUUCCAGGAAAAGCCUCUAAGCUCUAGGUAACAUUGAAUCGUACCCCAAACCGACACAGGUGGUCAGGUAGAGAAUACCAAGGCGCUUGAGAGAACUCGGGUGAAGGAACUAGGCAAAAUGGUGCCGUAACUUCGGGAGAAGGCACGCUGGCAUGUAGGUGAAGUCCUUCGCGGAUGGAGCUGAAGCCAGUCGAAGAUACCAGCUGGCUGCAACUGUUUAAUAAAAACACAGCACUGUGCAAACACGAAAGUGGACGUAUACGGUGUGACGCCUGCCCGGUGCUGGAAGGUUAAUUGAUGGGGUCAGCCGCAAGGCGAAGCUCUUGAUCGAAGCCCCAGUAAACGGCGGCCGUAACUAUAACGGUCCUAAGGUAGCGAAAUUCCUUGUCGGGUAAGUUCCGACCUGCACGAAUGGCGUAAUGAUGGCCAGGCUGUCUCCACCCGAGACUCAGUGAAAUUGAACUCGCUGUGAAGAUGCAGUGUACCCGCGGCAAGACGGAAAGACCCCGUGAACCUUUACUAUAGCUUGACACUGAACAUUGAGCCUUGAUGUGUAGGAUAGGUGGGAGGCUUUGAAGCGUGGACGCCAGUCUGCGUGGAGCCAUCCUUGAAAUACCACCCUUUAAUGUUUGAUGUUCUAACUCGGCCCCAUAAUCUGGGGUGAGGACAGUGUCUGGUGGGUAGUUUGACUGGGGCGGUCUCCUCCCAAAGAGUAACGGAGGAGCACGAAGGUUAGCUAAUCACGGUCGGACAUCGUGAGGUUAGUGCAAAGGCAUAAGCUAGCUUGACUGCGAGAGUGACGGCUCGAGCAGGUACGAAAGUAGGUCUUAGUGAUCCGGUGGUUCUGAAUGGAAGGGCCAUCGCUCAACGGAUAAAAGGUACUCCGGGGAUAACAGGCUGAUACCGCCCAAGAGUUCAUAUCGACGGCGGUGUUUGGCACCUCGAUGUCGGCUCAUCACAUCCUGGGGCUGAAGUAGGUCCCAAGGGUAUGGCUGUUCGCCAUUUAAAGUGGUACGCGAGCUGGGUUUAGAACGUCGUGAGACAGUUCGGUCCCUAUCUGCCGUGGGCGUUGGAAGAUUGAGAGGGGUUGCUCCUAGUACGAGAGGACCGGAGUGAACGCACCACUGGUGUUCGGGUUGUCAUGCCAAUGGCAUUGCCCGGUAGCUAAGUGCGGAAAAGAUAAGCGCUGAAAGCAUCUAAGCGCGAAACUUGCCUCAAGAUGA